rnacentral:rRNA from 1 species
GAUGAACGCUGGCGGCGUGCCUAACACAUGCAAGUCGAACGAAGCACUCUAUUUGAUUUUCUUCGGAAAUGAAGAUUUUGUGACUGAGUGGCGGACGGGUGAGUAACGCGUGGGUAACCUGCCUCAUACAGGGGGAUAACAGUUGGAAACGACUGCUAAUACCGCAUAAGCGCACAGGAUCGCAUGAUCCGGUGCGAAAAACUCCGGUGGUAUGGGAUGGACCCGCGUCUGAUUAGCCAGUUGGCAGGGUAACGGCCUACCAAAGCGACGAUCAGUAGCCGACCUGAGAGGGUGACCGGCCACAUUGGGACUGAGACACGGCCCAAACUCCUACGGGAGGCAGCAGUGGGGAAUAUUGCACAAUGGGGGAAACCCUGAUGCAGCGACGCCGCGAGAGCGAAGAAGUAUUUCGGUAUGUAAAGCUCUAUCAGCAGGGAAGAAGAAUGACGGUACCUGACUAAGAAGCACCGGCUAAAUACGUGCCAGCAGCCGCGGUAAUACGUAUGGUGCAAGCGUUAUCCGGAUUUACUGGGUGUAAAGGGAGCGCAGGCGGUGCGGCAAGUCUGAUGUGAAAGCCCGGGGCUCAACCCCGGUACUGCAUUGGAAACUGUCGUACUAGAGUGUCGGAGGGGUAAGUGGAAUUCCUAGUGUAGCGGUGAAAUGCGUAGAUAUUAGGAGGAACACCAGUGGCGAAGGCGGCUUACUGGACGAUAACUGACGCUGAGGCUCGAAAGCGUGGGGAGCAAACAGGAUUAGAUACCCUGGUAGUCCACGCCGUAAACGAU